AGGAAGAAACUGGGUCUUUCUUUUUCUGCUCAGAGCAGCCUCCUUGGUAGUGUAUGCAGCCUGUUGCUUGUAUGGGUUGCUCUAAGGAACCUUGGAGACAGUC
rnacentral:snoRNA from 1 species